CUCCUGGCUUCACUUCUCAUGAAGCCAAUGCAAUAAAAACAAAAACACUAAUCUGAUCAAGCUUUCCUGUCAAUUCAAUUCUGGUCUGUAUCGCUGUAGAGACCAGAUGUUUACCCAUGCUGAAGACAUAUCUAUAUCAUCCUGUUCCAAGCACACUGAACACAGAAUACUGCUUUCAGGUGCCGAUGGGAACCACUUUUAGACAAAGCAGUUCCUGUGGGGGGUCUGAACCUGCAAAGAGAGCCUCGGAUGGAGGGGGCUGGACUGGCCUCACCAAGGGAGAAGUGGACAGCUGUGUUCGCAACCCAACACAGUGUUGUGUCUUUGGCUAUGCUGGAUUAAGUGAUAUGACAUGCUAUUCUAUAAAAUAACAUUACCUGAUUAAGCUAAUCAGGUAAAUAAUUAACUAGAAAGUUGGGGCACCAUGAAAGGUGUUUAUAGAGCUGUUAUCUUCCGAAUAAACUCUUAAAGACCUAGUAA